CUACUAGUUGUCGGGUUUUAAUUAACUUGGUAACGCAGCUAACGCGUGAAGUAGACCGCCUGGGGAGUACGGUCGCAAGAUUAAAACUCAAAGGAAUUGACGGGGACCCGCACAAGCGGUGGAUGAUGUGGAUUAAUUCGAUGCAACGCGAAAAACCUUACCUACCCUUGACAUGUACGGAAGACCGAAGAGAUUUGGUUGUGCUCGAAAGAGAACCGUAACACAGGUGCUGCAUGGCUGUCGUCAGCUCGUGUCGUGAGAUGUUGGGUUAAGUCCCGCAACGAGCGCAACCCUUGUCAUUAGUUGCUACGAAAGGGCACUCUAAUGAGACUGCCGGUGACAAACCGGAGGAAGGUGGGGAUGACGUCAAGUCCUCAUGGCCCUUAUGGGUAGGGCUUCACACGUCAUACAAUGGUACAUACAGAGCGCCGCCAACCCGCGAGGGGGAGCUAAUCGCAGAAAGUGUAUCGUAGUCCGGAUUGUAGUCUGCAACUCGACUACAUGAAGUUGGAAUCGCUAGUAAUCGCGGAUCAGCAUGUCGCGGUGAAUACGUUCCCGGGUCUUGUACACACCGCCCGUCACACCAUGGGAGCGGGUUUUACCAGAAGUAGGUAGCUUAACCGCAAGGAGGGCGCUUACCACGGUAGGAUUCGUGACUGGGGUGAAGUCGUAACAAGGUAGCCGUAUCGGAAGGUGC
rnacentral:rRNA from 1 species